AUGGCUGUCGUCAGCUCGUGUCGUGAGAUGUUGGGUUAAGUCCCGCAACGAGCGCAACCCCCGUCCUUAGUUGCCAGCGGUUCGGCCGGGCACUCUAGGGAAACUGCCGGUGACAAGCCGGAGGAAGGCGGGGAUGACGUCAAGUCCUCAUGGCCCUUAUAGGCUGGGCUACACACGUGCUACAAUGGCGGUGACAAUGGGCGGCGACCCCGCGAGGGUGAGCUAAUCCCCAAAAACCGUCUCAGUUCGGAUUGUACUCUGCAACUCGAGUGCAUGAAGUUGGAAUCGCUAGUAAUCGUGGAUCAGCAUGCCACGGUGAAUACGUUCCCGGGCCUUGUACACACCGCCCGUCACACCAUGGGAGUUGGUUUUACCCGAAGCCGGUGCGCUAACCGCAAGGAGGCAGCCGACCACGGUAAGGUCAGCGACUGGGGUGAAGUCGUAACAAGGUAGCCGUAGGGGAACCUGCGGCUGGAUCACCUCCUUUCUAAGGAUGCUUUUGGUAGAUUUGUAACAAUCAUGUCGCAAUUCUCUAAUCGCGUUUCUUAACAGAAGAGCUCUUGAUGUCAGCUUUGGAUCGCUGAUAUUAGGAGGAUAAACACGGCAGAGCGUCGGUUGACGCCGUCCACGCAUCCCUUCCGCAGUCGAUAUAACAGCCCGAACCCUAGAGUUAUUAGUUGGGGCGCUGGUUCACGUUAAGUUCACUAAAGUGGAUUAACGCAAUCAGAGCCCUGUGUUCGGGCGUUUGGUCUGGGCGUCUUCAGGCAUUUCCUGUUGAGGCGCUUGAUUUUAGCCGCUUGAAUUAAAGAUCGGGGCCGUAGCUCAGCUGGGAGAGCGCCUGCUUUGCAAGCAGGGGGUCACCGGUUCGAACCCGGUCGGCUCCACCAAGUUCAGGAAUUAGUUGUCAGGUAUCAGAUAACAGAGACCGGAGUUGGUGGGGUGUAUUAAGCUGGGUUCUUCUUUCUGAUCCUUGACCGCUGAUACCUGAUCUCUGAAAUGGGCCUGUAGCUCAGUUGGUUAGAGCGCGCGCUUGAUAAGCGUGAGGUCGGAAGUUCAAGUCUUCCCAGGCCCACCAAUUUUACGACCUAGGAAAGUGAAAUACUUCUUCCUAGGGUCGUGUUGGUACUAAUGUUAACGCAAAGUUACUGAUUAAAAAUAAUUUUGUAUUGUUGUUAAAUCGAGCUUGGAAGUAAGAAUUUUUGCUGGUGCAAGUUGCGUCAGUGGGAUGUGUUUUUUGACAUGGUGAAGAGGUGAUGACUAAGAAUACCUAGUCUAGUUUAUAAUAAUUGACAUAAUCUAGCUAAUAUUUUUGGGAACAAAUUAAAGCAUCUUUAACAUGGAUGAUGUUGGUUUUUGACCGAUGUUUAUCCGUGUGUGAGUUGAUCAAGCGUCAUAAGGGCAUUUGGUGGAUGCCUUGGUUCCAAGAGGCGAUGAAGGACGUGACACGCUGCGAAAAGCUGUGGGGAGCUGCGAGUAAGCUUUGAUCCGCGGAUAUCCGAAUGGGGAAACCCGG
rnacentral:sRNA from 1 species